GGAGGACCAUAGCUCAAUGGUGGAGCAUCUGCCUUGCUUGCAGAAGAUCCCAGCUCCAAUCCCUGGCAUUUCCA